AAUAUCAUUCAUAUAGGAGCACAUAUGGAUGUUAUGGGGAUGCCAUGACAAGAAAUGGAGUAAGGGCCAAACCCUUAAUCUUUGUAAAGAAACAUAUUUGCCCAUGCUCAUACAAAGCCGGGAAUAGAAGUCCAUCAAGUCCUCUGAGCUAUGGAAGAGAAACUGUUGAGCAAUAACAGAUUCCUCUGGGCUGUGGUGCCAAAUACAGAUUCAGACAGGUGACUGGAGCAGUCGAUAUCCUGUCUGCAAGCACAUGAAUGGAGAGGCUGCGCCGGAUAAAGCAGGUCCUUUGAGGUCAAGAGAUGGUCUGAGAGAGGAAGAAGAUGCCUUUGCGUGACACUCAGGGAAUGCGCAGAAUGGAAGAGUAAAAGAGAGAACGGACUACAGAUGAGGGUAGACAAAUAUGGAUAGAGGAGGAAUCAAUGUGAGGAAAUGUCAUAUGGUGAGG
rnacentral:lncRNA from 1 species